UUACGGCCACAUCACGUUGAAACACCAGUCCCUGUACGAUCACCGAAGUUAAACAACGCCGAGCCUAGUCAGUGCUUAGAUGGGUGACUGCUUGGGAAUACCGAGUGCUGUAA